GUGACAGGGUUAGUGAAGGUCGUGGGUAGUAUUAUGGUGAGACAAAAAACAGUUUUAUUGUUGUUUAUAAUUAUAUUUACACGACGAGACUCAUGGAAGAUGUUUAUUCUAUAAGGACGAUACUAUAAAUUGAAAAUUUGUAUAAAAACAAUCGUUACAUCACGUUUACCGAGCAAAGGUUAGUUUGUAAUAGAUCACGCCGUUCGAAAUAUUCGAGUACACCCAAACCCGGAAGUCAACAAUCGUUUGUUUACAUUAUUAUUAUACCAGUGUCAACAUUGAUGCCAAUUUGUUACUAAUAUCAGUAUUUCUAUUGAACUUAUUGUUUCCGAACUUUAUUUAUCAACAUGACUAGAAACAAGUUAAAUACAAAUGCAAAGCGUAAACUGAAAGAUUUGUCAAAUAAUACAGACCCAGAAUUUGAUUCUCCAACACAACAACCUUAUAAAAAGGGAUCGAAAAAACUUUCGAAAAACAACACCAGUGUUCAUUCUAUUCACGAGGGCUUGUCGUCCGAUAAGACACCUGAUAAUCAGAAGCAUGCCUAUAAUACGCAAACCAGUACACCGCUUCAGUACCCGUACCCGCUCCCUUUUCCUGGCC
rnacentral:lncRNA from 1 species